UGGGAUGUAACUCAGUUGAUAGAGUGCUUGCCGGGUAUACAUGAAGCCCUGGGUUCAAUUCCUAGCACCAUAU
rnacentral:tRNA from 1 species